rnacentral:lncRNA from 1 species
AGACUUUCACCCAUUUGAGCUUUGGAUUUUAAACCAAUAAGGUUUAUCUAUAAAAAGGGGUUUAUUGCAAAAAUGAGCUACCCUGUAAUUUUUGGUAUUUAAAUUGGAGUUGAAAAACUAUUUUUAUUUGAUUAAUUAUAAAGCCCUAAAGGCAUUUAUAGGGCAAAACUAUUUUAUUUUAUUUUGAAGGGAAAUUUGUCCCAAAAGUUGAAUCAUAUUAUAAUAUGAUUUUACAAAUUUUCUAAAAUUUAUUUGGAUCAAUUUGGAGUUCAAAAUCAAAAGUUAUCAAAGAAAUCAGAAAAAGAAAAAGGAAAGAACAAAAAAAAAGAGAAAACCGGACCGGCCCGGCCAUUUGGGCCGAACCGGCCCAGUUCUGCGCGCACCCGCACCCGAGCCGGCCCAGCGCCUGCCCGUGCCUGCGCCGAGCCACCGACGGGUGGGGCCCCCCUGUCGGGGCCGUCUUCCCCGCAUGGAAACCCCGUCGGGAUCCCCGCACGACAUCCCCGCGGCGCCAUCACUCCCGUGCUCCCCUCCUCCUUCCUUUAGCGUCAUUAUAAAGCCUGCGCCCUCCUCUCUCUUUCCCCUCUCCCCUCCCUCUCGAUUAUGCCCCCAGGCUGCCGCAGUUUCUCACCGCGCGUGCGCCACUGCCUCUGCCGUCUCAGGCUCGUCCCCGGCGACCAAAAGGGCAGGGGCUAACGCCACCUACCCUACCUCCUCCCUCUCUCCCUCGCGCACAUUUUGACAUGAACCAUUUUCCGUUUGGUGCUCCGUAGCCCAAGAACGCCGACGACCCGAAGCUCCGCCAUCGCCGCCACCUCUUCUCCGUCCUAGGCGUCAUCUCCGGCCACCCCGACGCGUACCGCCGCCACCAUUGUCUCCGUCUCGUCGCGCCGCGUCUUCCCCAAGUUUCCCCGAGCCGAGACCCCGCCGGAAACACUCGCCGCCGCAUCCCCCAGCCGCCAAAGCGUCGCCGGAACCCUAGCGCCGCCGCCGGUAAGCCC